GGGCCAAAGAGGGGGACCUUCGGGCCUCUCGCGUCAGGAUAUGCCUAGGUGGGAUUAGCUAGUUGGUGAGGUAAGGGCUCACCAAGGCGACGAUCCCUAGCUGGUCUGAGAGGAUGAUCAGCCACACUGGAACUGAGACACGGUCCAGACUCCUACGGGAGGCAGCAGUGGGGAAUAUUGCACAAUGGGCGCAAGCCUGAUGCAGCCAUGCCGCGUGUGUGAAGAAGGCCUUCGGGUUGUAAAGCACUUUCAGUCGUGAGGAAGGUAGUGUAGUUAAUAGCUGCAUUAUUUGACGUUAGCGACAGAAGAAGCACCGGCUAACUCCGUGCCAGCAGCCGCGGUAAUACGGAGGGUGCGAGCGUUAAUCGGAAUUACUGGGCGUAAAGCGCAUGCAGGUGGUUUGUUAAGUCAGAUGUGAAAGCCCGGGGCUCAACCUCGGAAUUGCAUUUGAAACUGGCAGACUAGAGUACUGUAGAGGGGGGUAGAAUUUCAGGUGUAGCGGUGAAAUGCGUAGAGAUCUGAAGGAAUACCGGUGGCGAAGGCGGCCCCCUGGACAGAUACUGACACUCAGAUGCGAAAGCGUGGGGAGCAAACAGGAUUAGAUACCCUGGUAGUCCACGCCGUAAACGAUGUCUACUUGGAGGUUGUGGCCUUGAGCCGUGGCUUUCGGAGCUAACGCGUUAAGUAGACCGCCUGGGGAGUACGGUCGCAAGAUUAAAACUCAAAUGAAUUGACGGGGGCCCGCACAAGCGGUGGAGCAUGUGGUUUAAUUCGAUGCAACGCGAAGAACCUUACCUACUCUUGACAUCCAGAGAACUUUCCAGAGAUGGAUUGGUGCCUUCGGGAACUCUGAGACAGGUGCUGCAUGGCUGUCGUCAGCUCGUGUUGUGAAAUGUUGGGUUAAGUCCCGCAACGAGCGCAACCCUUAUCCUUGUUUGCCAGCGAGUAAUGUCGGGAACUCCAGGGAGACUGCCGGUGAUAAACCGGAGGAAGGUGGGGACGACGUCAAGUCAUCAUGGCCCUUACGAGUAGGGCUACACACGUGCUACAAUGGCGCAUACAGAGGGCAGCCAACUUGCGAAAGUGAGCGAAUCCCAAAAAGUGCGUCGUAGUCCGGAUUGGAGUCUGCAACUCGACUCCAUGAAGUCGGAAUCGCUAGUAAUCGUGGAUCAGAAUGCCACGGUGAAUACGUUCCCGGGCCUUGUACACACCGCCCGUCACACCAUGGGAGUGGGCUGCAAAAGAAGUAGGUAGUUUAACCUUCGGGGGG
rnacentral:rRNA from 1 species